CCCUACGGGUGGCAGCAGUGGGGAAUAUUGGACAAUGGGGGGAACCCUGAUCCAGCCAUGCCGCGGGUGUGAAGAAGGCCCUCGGGUUGUAAAGCACUUUCAGUGAGGAAGAACGCCUGGUGGUUAAUACCCAUCAGGAAAGACAUCACUCACAGAAGAAGCACCGGCUAACUCCGUGCCAGCAGCCGCGGUAAUACGGAGGGUGCGAGCGUUAAUCGGAAUUACUGGGCGUAAAGCGCGCGUAGGUGGCUUGAUAAGCCGGUUGUGAAAGCCCCGGGCUCAACCUGGGAACGGCAUCCGGAACUGUCAAGCUAGAGUGCAGGAGAGGAAGGUAGAAUUCCCGGUGUAGCGGUGAAAUGCGUAGAGAUCGGGAGGAAUACCAGUGGCGAAGGCGGCCUUCUGGACUGAAACUGACACUGAGGUGCGAAAGCGUGGGUAGCAAACAGGAUUAGAUACCCGUGUAGUC
rnacentral:rRNA from 1 species